AGGAUUAACGCUGGCGGCGUGCAUGAAACAUGCAAGUCGAGCGCGGUGUGAUGCGGGGUAACCCAAUUCACAUCUAGCGGCGAACGGGUGAGUAACACGUGAGCAACCUACCUUUGAGUUGGGGAUAGCCCUGGGAAACCAGGAUUAAUACCCGAUGUGGUCACAACAGGACAUCCUGAUGUGAGUAAAGGCGCAAGCCGCUCAAUGACGGGCUCGCGGCCUAUUAGCUUGUUGGUGGGGUAACGGCCUACCAAGGCGAUGAUGGGUAGCUGGUCUGAGAGGACGAUCAGCCACACUGGGACUGAGACACGGCCCAGACUCCUACGGGAGGCAGCAGUUAGGAAUUUUCCGCAAUGGGCGAAAGCCUGACGGAGCAACGCCGCGUGAGUGAUGAAGACCUUAGGGUUGUAAAGCUCUGUCGGAGGGAAGAACACAAUGACGGUACCCUACCAAGAAAGCCCGGCUAACUACGUGCCAGCAGCCGCGGUAAUCUGA
rnacentral:rRNA from 1 species